rnacentral:pre_miRNA from 1 species
CUAAGUAGUAGUGCCGCAGGUAAUGGUAAUAACAUGUCUUACCUGAUCAUUGCUGCUUAAAA